GAUGAACGCUGGCUACAGGCUUAACACAUGCAAGUCGAGGGGAAACGCCGGGGAAGCUUGCUUCCCCGGGCGUCGACCGGCGCACGGGUGAGUAACGCGUAUCCAACCUGCCUCUGACUGAGGGAUAACCCGUCGAAAGUCGGCCUAAUACCUCAUGGCAUCGUCUGCGGGCAUCCAACGACGAUUAAAGAUUUCAUCGGUCAGGGAUGGGUAUGCGUCUGAUUAGCUAGUUGGCGGGGUAACGGCCCACCAAGGCGACGAUCAGUAGGGGUUCUGAGAGGAAGGUCCCCCACAUUGGAACUGAGACACGGGCCAAACUCCUACGGGAGGCAGCAGUGAGGAAUAUUGGUCAAUGGGCGAGAGCCUGAACCAGCCAAGUAGCGUGCAGGAUGACGGCCCUAUGGGUUGUAAACUGCUUUUAUGCGGGGAUAAAGUGAGGGACGUGUCCUUCAUUGCAGGUACCGCAUGAAUAAGGACCGGCUAAUUCCGUG
rnacentral:rRNA from 1 species